rnacentral:rRNA from 1 species
UACGUAGGGCGCAAGCGUUAUCCGGAAUUAUUGGGCGUAAAGAGCUCGUAGGCGGUUUGUCGCGUCUGCCGUGAAAGUCCGGGGCUCAACUCCGGAUCUGCGGUGGGUACGGGCAGACUAGAGUGAUGUAGGGGAGACUGGAAUUCCUGGUGUAGCGGUGAAAUGCGCAGAUAUCAGGAAGAACACCCGUGGCUAAGGCGGCUCUCUAGUACGGUACUGACGCUGAGACGCGAAAGCGUGGGAGCGAACAGG